GACGAACGCUGGCGGCGUGCCUAACACAUGCAAGUCGAACGGAAAGGCCCUGCUUUUGUGGGGUGCUCGAGUGGCGAAGGGGUGAGUAACACGUGAGUAACCUGUCCCUGACUUUGGGAUAUCUUCAGGAAACUGGGGCUCAUACCGGAUAGGAUCUCCUGCUGCAUGGUGGGGGUUGGAAAGUUUCGGCGGUUGGGGAUGGACUCGCGGCUUAUGAGCUUGAUGGUGGGGUAGUGGCUUACCAAGGCUUUGACGGGUAGCCGGCCUGAGAGGGUGACCGGCCACAUUGCGACUGAGAUACGGCCCAGACUCGUACGGGAGGCAGCAGUGGGGAAUAUUGCACAAUGGGCGGAAGCAUGAUGUAGCAACGCCGCGUGCGGGAUGACGGCCUUCGGGUUGUGAACCGCUGUCGCCUGUGACGAAGCGUGAGUGACGGUAAUGGGUAAAGAAGCACCGGCUAACUACGUG
rnacentral:rRNA from 1 species